rnacentral:rRNA from 1 species
GAUGAACGCUGGCGGCGUGCCUAAUACAUGCAAGUCGAGCGAACGGACGAGAAGCUUGCUUCUCUGAUGUUAGCGGCGGACGGGUGAGUAACACGUGGAUAACCUACCUAUAAGACUGGGAUAACUUCGGGAAACCGGAGCUAAUACCGGAUAAUAUUUUGAACCGCAUGGUUCAAAAGUGAGAGACGGUCUUGCUGUCACUUAUAGAUGGAUCCGCGCUGCAUUAGCUAGUUGGUAAGGUAACGGCUUACCAAGGCAACGAUGCAUAGCCGACCUGAGAGGGUGAUCGGCCACACUGGAACUGAGACACGGUCCAGACUCCUACGGGAGGCAGCAGUAGGGAAUCUUCCGCAAUGGGCGAAAGCCUGACGGAGCAACGCCGCGUGAGUGAUGAAGGUCUUCGGAUCGUAAAACUCUGUUAUUAGGGAAGAACAUAUGGUAAGUAACUGUGCACAUCUUGACGGUACCUAAUCAGAAAGCCACGGCUAACUACGUG